UUGGAGGUGGAGGUAGGUGGGCUGAGCGGUUGCGGGGGGACAACCCUAGUGGGGACGGUCCCUGUGGGCACUGCCGGGACCUGGUGUCCAGAGCACGGCUGUCGGCGAGGAAUAGCUCGGAGGUUCAGCCUCAGUUUCCUGCUCUUUCCUAUUAACGGAAAGCCCCUCCGGCAGCCCGUUCUGCUUCCCGUCCAGAUGCCGUUUACAGGCGUCAGCUCCUGCCUGCAAAGCAGGACGAAGCAGCGGCGUCUGAGAAACUCUCAGCCGUAGAAAUCCCCGAGCGGGCAUGCAAACCUGACCCGGCGGCACCAGUCGGGCUGCAGAAACGCUCCGGCGCAGAGAGGCUAAAACCACAGCCAUCGCACCUAGCUGGGGCCACCAGCACCCGUGUUUGGUGUCCACCUGCUCUCCAGGCCCCUCCACUGCUGGCAAAGGCGCAGCUUUGCGAGGAGUUAGCCCAAAAGGCCAGUACCUACACGGCAGUGAAGAACAACCCCUGCUCUUCACUGCCUGCCUUUGACUUCUUACAGAUUUAGUUCUGCCAGUGCCAACAGCUAUGUUUGCUUUUGUGCCGGCCAGUGCAGGCAGAGAUAUUAGUAAGCAGAGGUCUAACUACCUGGCUUGCAGGCACUAUCAGCAAGUUGGACACCUAACGACUGCUAAUAUUUCAUUGCAGGCACAAAAAUGAAGCAGGGCAAUUAUUUGCAAGCGCUAAAUUGCACCCUCAAAAUCAAAGACCGUGUCAAGACUUGCCUGGGAAAAAACCCAUCAGGCUCCAAGAGGUGCAGCGCAACAUACAUCAAGCAGACAGAGCCCUGAGUACCGGCUCUGCACGCGCUCGCAGCAGGAGCCGUGCACGACCGACCGAAGGCUGAGUCGAGCCGUACUGGAAACGGCAGGCAAGUACCACCUAUAGGUCAACCAAACGUAGGGACGACUGAUGGAGGCCCGAGAGCAGGUUCCCCCGGGCAGCGACAGCGGGUGGGAUUCCCCCAGGCCAGGAAGGACCCCAGACCGGCAGUGACAAAAGCAGGAGCAUGGUUUGGCCCGUGCAGACACGAACGCGGCACGCGCAGAGGUCGCGCUAGGAAGGACCGCCGCCGGCCGCGAGGGCGAGCGAGAGGACGGGCGUUUCCCUCCCCUUGCCUUGCUGCUCCGAGAACGGUCUCGCACCAGCGGGAGCCCAUUAGAUGCAAAGAAACCCAGCGGCGGCUUGGGACCCGGCUCCAGGAGCCUUUCUGGGGCACCGGGCUGGGGAUAUAUUCAACCCCUCCCUCCAAUCCUCCGCUAAUCCCACCGUCCCCAAGGCCGCGGUGGGGGGGAGGCCGGCGCGCCGGUCUCCUCAAACGGCGGAGAUGGCGACCUAUAUGGAUGUUUCUAAUGCAACGUUUCUUUUUAUUUCCCCCUUUCUUUUGAGCGCUCACAUCAUCAUCAAUAAAUACGCACCGG
rnacentral:lncRNA from 1 species